GCAAUUGAUGAAAGCCGGACAAAAUGUUACUACAAUAAUAGAAGUAGUAGUCUGCGUUUUCACUCGCCUCCUCCUACCCUACUUGAAUAUUCCUUGCUUAAUAAUUCCGCCCUCUCUUCAAUCAAACAAUCACUUCUUCGAUUUGAUAGAAUUGGAGCUUCAAACCCGAUCAAAUUCUGUAUUCAUCACUGAAUUGGCUUCAGAAUUCUGUGUGUUAAUGUGAGUGAUCUGUGAAAUUGGAGUUUGGGGCGGAGCGCGAUGAACGUGAGCCGGCCGUCGGUGCAUCCGGUGGAGGCUCCGCCGUUGACGGACGGAGCACAUAAUGCGCCGCCGAGAUUUAGGAUGAAGGACUUGCAAGGGAUGCCUGGGACUCCAGGUAGUCUAGCCCUAAGGCUCUCUCAAUUCGUCUUUGCCCUUGUUUCUCUCUCUGUUAUGACCACCACUAGUGAUUUCCCUUCCGUCACUGCUUUCUGUUACCUUGUUGCAGCGGUUGGCUUUCAAAGCUUGUGGAGUCUGUCGCUGGCUAUUGUUGAUAUAUAUGCCCUUCUAGUGAGACGAAGUUUGCGGAAUUCCAGAGCUAUAAGUUUGUUUACAAUUGGCGAUGGGAUUACAUCCACACUCACAUUUGCUGCUGCUUGUGCAUCUGCUGGUAUUACGGUCCUUAUUGGCAAUGAUCUUGAUAAAUGUUCUGUGAAUCACUGUGCAAGAUUUGAGUCAGCUACAGCUAUGGCUUUUAUCUGCUGGUUUGCUGCCACUCCAUGCUUUCUUUUGAACUUUUGGUCAUUGGCUUCCCGAUAGAAAUUGGGUAGAGAAGAUCCAUCAGCAGCCAUUUAGUGUUUUUGUUGCCGUCUCUCCUGUAGUUCAGUUCACCAACACAGACUUGAUUGAUCCUACUGUGCUCAUGCCUGAAAAUUUACUAAAAACGUUUGUGAGGAAGGUUUUGAGUUCUGAUCCAUCUUGUCAAAGAGGCUGUCUGGUGUUCGUUCUCAAAAUCUCACCUGCCUGAAAAAGUUGCUUUACCCGUUGAUGCAUCUGAGUCUUUUCUUCCUCCUUGUCAUUGUCAUCAUCAUUAUUCAUUAUCUUCUUCUCAUUCUCAACCUUGUUAUUAGGGAAUGACUCUUGAUGGCUAUUGAGCUACAGCUUGUAGGUAUUAUUUAUUUUUUCUUGAACUUAUAUCACCAGGAAGUCAAAGGAUCAGUUACAUUUUGCUUCUCCUAAAAGACAUGGUAAGUUCAUAUGCCGCUGUUGGUAGGAACAACUCUAGGGUAGCCUGAAUUUCUAUCGCAUUCUUGCUCUGCAGACUGCUGUAGAUAAGAGUGUCCUCAUUAUAGACUCUCUCCAUAGAAACUACUUACGAGAUUUUCUUGCUUCUUGUUCUUUUUUUACGAUGUCAAGUGCUUCAAAUGAUCAAAUGCAUCAAACAGCAGGGGCAAUAUGGGAUUGGAAACUUUAUGUGGCAUAGAUUUGAUAUUAAUUGCAGGCAUGUUCCUUUUCA